rnacentral:piRNA from 1 species
UGGGUGGCAAGUGUUUGUUGACCUGG